ensembl:lncRNA cingulin-like
GUAUUUUAUUUCCCAUAAUGAGGAAGUGUUGCUGUCUGGUUGUAGUUGUAGUUGAUGUGUGAGUGCUUGUGUGUUUCUGUCAGUCGGAGCAGCUGCAGAUCAAGCUCAUCCAGGAGAAAGAUCUCAACGAUCAGCUGGAGUGUGAGAAGGCCAUCCUGGAUAGACAGCUGCGGGAUCUGCGCAGAGAGAUGGAGGAGCUGCAGAAUAACAGAGUGGAGGUGGACUCAAUCACCAGAGCCGAGAUUAAAGCCAAAGAACUGGAGAACACACUGCGCACCGAGGAGAGGAAUAAAGUGGUGAUGAACAACAGCAUCAGCAAACUGGAGAAGAAGAUCCACGAGCUGAUGGAGCAGAUGGAGGAGGAGCACAAGAUCUCCACCGAACAGAGAGAGCUGGUAUGAUGACGAUCACACAUCCACACCAGCAGAGGGAGACACAACAUCACAUCACACAC